rnacentral:rRNA from 1 species
UACGUAGGGGGCUAGCGUUGUCUGGAAUCAUUGGGCGUAAAGAGCGUGUAGGCGGUCCGGUAAGUCCGCUGUGAAAGUCGGGGGCUCAACCCUCGAAUGCCGGUGGAUACUGUCGGGCUAGAGUGCGGAAGAGGCGAGUGGAAUUCCUGGUGUAGCGGUGAAAUGCGCAGAUAUCAGGAGGAACACCUAUUGCGAAGGCAGCUCGCUGGGACGUUACUGACGCUGAGACGCGAAAGCGUGGGGAGCAAACAGG